AGGAUAAACGCUGGCGGCGUGCCUAACACAUGCAAGUCGAACGCGCUUUCGGGCUUCGGUGCGAGAGCGAGUGGCGGACGGGUGAGUAACACAUGGGUACCUACCUUGGAGUGAGGGAUACCGGCGAGAAAUCGCCGACAAUACCGCAUAGGCUUCUUCACAAGGGAAGCAAAGUGACGCGAGUCACGCUGUGAGAUGGGCCUGUGGCCGAUUAGCUAGUUGGGGGGGUAACGGCUUCCCAAGGCGACGAUCGGUAGCUGGUCUGAGAGGACGAUCAGCCACACUGGGAUUGAGAACGGCCCAGACUCCUACGGGGGGCAGCAGUGAGGAAUUUUCCGCAAUGGAGGCAACUCUGACGGAGCAACGCCGCGUGCAGGAGGAAGGUUUUCGGAUCGUAAACUGCUUUUCUCGGGGACGAGCAAGGACGGUACCCGAGGAAGAAGCCCCGGCUAACUACGUGCCAGCAGCCGCGGU
rnacentral:rRNA from 1 species